AUCAGCUUUCCUUUUUGUUUGACGAUGGAGGGAAGUUCUUAAUUUUAAAGUGGGCAUGUGUACCAGGCUAUUGUCCCUGGGGUUGUGUUUUGUGUCUUGCUUAAGAAGUCCUUCCUUCCUCAAUGUGAGGUCACGAAGAUAUUUCCCUUACGGUUGGAAAGUGUCAUUUUUACACUUCGGUCUGUCAUCCCUCUGGAAUUUGCUUCUGACUGUGUGAAGCCCAGCUCCCUCCUGCUUGGCUGUGUGACUUGGAGCAACUCGGGGCCCCGUGGCCCCACCUGACAGAUGAGAAGUCAGCUGAGGUCAUCUCCAAGGCUGCUUCCUAGGCUGCGGCUGUGAGCUCUGGUCCUCCUUGCUGUGGCCUGCGACCAGCGUGAUGCCCCAGAGAGCGUGAUGAGGAGAUGAUUCCACAGAUCUCCACGUGUCCUGCAAAAAUGCAGCCGCAUCCACAUGGCGUUGGCUGUCCUCCCGCCUCUCUGCUGUUUUCUCUUCUAGAAACAUAACAAAGCACCCCAAGGUACCAGGCCAAGGAUGGGAGAAGCCUCAGUAACUAGAAUUGCUGUUAAGACCACACAUCCAGCUACAUGGGCCUUCCUGGAGACUCCGACCUGCAGGAUGUUUAAAGCUGUCCUUAAAGGAGGCUCUGAGAGGUGCCACAGCUGUCCAGACACAAGCUGAAACAUUGGCUCUCCCUGGGUCUUCAGCCUGCCCGCUUUCGCACUGGAACUGACACCAUCAACCCUCCUGGGCCCCAGGCUUUUGGACUCAGGCUGGAACCACAUCCUCAGCCCUCCGGGGUCUCCAGCUUGCCAGCUGCAGUCUUGGGCUGCAGUUCUCAGUUUCCAUAGUCACA
rnacentral:lncRNA from 1 species